rnacentral:lncRNA from 1 species
CAGGGCAUAGAGUAAUCUGCACCGUCCUCAAGUACCCCAGGAAAGGAUCCUGCUCAUUCCCAUCUCUGGAGGACAGAUCUCUACUAUCUACAGAGAAUUAGGAUAAUGGAAGCAGCAGUAAUUUCCAGGAAGAUUAGCCCUGAGCUAACUGCUGCUAAUCCUCCUCAUUUCUCUGAGGAAGCCUGGUCCUGAGCUAACAUCCGUGCCCAUCUCCCUCUACUUUAUACGUGGGACGCCUACCACAGGAUGGCAUGCCAAGCAGUGCCAUGUCCACACCCGGGAUCCGAACCAGCGAACCCCGGGCCUCCGAAGCAGAACGUGUGCAUUUAACUACUGCGCCACCAGGCCAGCACUAUUUAUAAUUUUUUAAAGAAAGGGAAGAGGAACCAGUACAAUCAAGGUCCAUUCUGAAUUCCAGCAGAAGAAUCGGGCAGAGGCUUUAGUGUUCAUAGCUGCAUUACUAUUGUAUUUCUUCAAUUCUAAGAUGCACAUUUUGUGGCAUUGUAAUGUUUCUAAAAUUGGGAUUGCAUCUUCUAAUCAAUGUACAAUUUAAUAUAGGAGGUUUUACCUCCUAGAAACAUCUUAUUAAAACAAAGAUAUGUCUUAAACUUGAUUGUGUCCCAGAAUCGAGGAAAUAAAGUAAUUAUGCUGCUGCCAUAGCAGACAUGACAGUUUUAAGACAAGAAUAGGUAAGCAACUAGGGAGUAGAGGCCAGGCCUUAGCAAAGCCACCAUGAUGGUCAUAACCUUAAAAGAUCAUGAGUUUUCUAUUAAUAGCUUCAUUGCCCCCAAGCCUCUGAAGCCUGUGGAUACAAGUAAGUCAAACUGCUUGGGCCCCACAUUUUGCUGGUUCUAAACCCUCAGUGCCGAAGCUUCAAGACUUCAGCCCCCGACCCCAGGUCUCCCCAGUGACUUCUGGGAAUCCUCUAUGCUCAGGGCCAGCCCUUCCAUUUGCUUCAGCUCUGUCCUUUCUGCAGAUGCCCUCUCUGUUCCCAGUGUAUCUCCUGGUACUAAAAAUCUGUGCAUCCUCCAGAUGUAAUUUCUUGCUAAAUCUUCAUGCUGAGUUAAG